GAUGAACGCUGGCGGUCUGCUUAACACAUGCAAGUCGAACGGAAUCCUUCGGGAUUUAGUGGCGGACGGGUGAGUAACACGUGAGAAUCUGCACUCAGGAUGGGGACAACAGCGGGAAACUGCUGCUAAUACCCAAUGUGCCGAAAGGUAAAAGAUUUAUCGCCUGAGAAUGAGGUCGCGGCCGAUUAGGUAGUUGGUGGGGUAAUGGCCUACCAAGACGGCGAUCGGUAGCUGGUCUGAGAGGAUGAGCAGCCACACUGGGACUGAGACACGGCCCAGAGUCCUACGGGAGGCAGCAGUGGGGAAUUUUCCGCAAGGGGCGCAAGCCUGACGGAGCAGGACCGCGUGGGGGAGGAAGGCUCUUGGGUUGUAAACCCCUUUUCUCAAGGAAGAACAAAAUGACGGUACUUGAGGAAUCAGCCUCGGCUAACUCCGUGCCAGCCGCCGCCGUAAAAC
rnacentral:rRNA from 1 species